rnacentral:rRNA from 1 species
UGGGGAAUUUUGGACAAUGGGGGAAACCCUGAUCCAGCCAUCCCGCGUGUGCGAUGAAGGCCUUCGGGUUGUAAAGCACUUUUGGCAGGAAAGAAACGUCGCGGGUUAAUACCCCGCGAAACUGACGGUACCUGCAGAAUAAGCACCGGCUAACUACGUGCCAGCAGCCGCGGUAAUACGUAGGGUGCAAGCGUUAAUCGGAAUUACUGGGCGUAAAGCGUGCGCAGGCGGUUCGGAAAGAAAGAUGUGAAAUCCCGGAGCUUAACUUUGGAACUGCAUUUUUAACUACCGGGCUAGAGUGUGUCAGAGGGAGGUGGAAUUCCGCGUGUAGCAGUGAAAUGCGUAGAUAUGCGGAGGAACACCGAUGGCGAAGGCAGCCUCCUGGGAUAACACUGACGCUCAUGCACGAAAGCGUGGGGAGCAAACAGGAUUAGAUACCCUGGUAGUCCACGCCCUAAACGAUGUCAACUAGCUGUUGGGGCCUUCGGGCCUUGGUAGCGCAGCUAACGCGUGAAGUUGACCGCCUGGGGAGUACGGUCGCAAGAUUAAAAACUCAAAGGGAAUUGACGGGGGUCAUAGCUGUUUUUCCCU